UUCCGGUUGAUCCUGCCGGAGGACAUUGCUAUUGGGAUUCGAUUUAGCCAUGCUAGUCGAACGAGUUCACACUCGUGGCACAUAGCUCAGUAACACGUGGCCAAGCUACCCUUCAGUCAGCAAUACCCUCGGGAAACUGAGGCUAAUAGCCGAUACGAAACAGACGCUGGAAUGCACUGUAUUCCAAAGACACCGCUGAAGGAUGCGGCUGCGGCCGAUUAGGUAGACGGUGGGGUAACGGCCCACCGUGCCAGUAAUCGGUACGGGUGAUGAGAGUCAGAGCCCGGAGACGGAAUCUGAGACAAGAUUCCGGGCUCUACGGGGCGCAGCAGGCGCGAAACCUUUACACUGCACGAAGGUGCGAUAGGGGAAUCCCAAGUGCGAGGGCAUAUUAGCCCUCGCUUUUGUUGACUCUAAGGCGGUCAACGAAUAAGAGCUGGGCAAGACCGGUGCCAGCCGCCGCGGUAAUACCGGCAGCUCAAGUGAUGUCCCAUAUUAUUGGGCCUAAAGCGUCCGUAGCUGGCCGACCAAGUCUAUCGGGAAAUCCACCUGCCCAACAGGUGGGCGUCCGGUAGAAACUGGCCGGCUUGGAACCGGAAGGCUCAGAGAGUACGUCCGGGGUAGGAGUGAAAUCCCGUAAUCCCGGACGGACUACCGAUGGCGAAAGCACUCUGAGAAGACGGCUUCGACAGUGAGGGACGAAAGCUCGGGUCUCAAACCGGAUUAGAUACCCGGGUAGUC
rnacentral:rRNA from 1 species